AGUGAACGCUGGCGGCGUGCUUAACACAUGCAAGUCGAACGAGAACGGAUUAUAGCUUGCUAUAAUUGUCAGCUAGGUGGCGCACGGGUGAGUAAUGUAUAGGUAAUAUGCCUCUUACUAAGGGAUAACAAAUGGAAACGUUUGCUAAUACCUUAUACUCCUUAUUAACAGAAGUUAAUAAGGGAAAGAUUUAUUGGUAAGAGAUUAGCCUGUAUUGUAUCAGUUAGUUGGUGGGGUAAUGGCUUACCAAGACUAUGACACAUAACUGGUUUGAGAGGAUGAUCAGUCACACUGGAACUGAGACACGGUCCAGACUGCUACGGGCGGCAGCAGUGGGGAAUAUUGCACAAUGGACGAAAGUCUUAUGCAACAUCGCCGCGUGGAGGAUGACACAUUUCGGUGCGUAAACUCCUUUUAUAUUAGAAGAUAAUGACGGUAUUAUAUGAAUAAGCACCGGCUAACUCCGUGCCAGCCGCCGCCGUAA
rnacentral:rRNA from 1 species